GCUCAACCGGGGAGGGUCAUUGGAAACUGGGGAACUUGAGUGCAGAAGAGGAGAGUGGAAUUCCACGUGUAGCGGUGAAAUGCGUAGAGAUGUGGAGGAACACCAGUGGCGAAGGCGACUCUCUGGUCUGUAACUGACGCUGAGGCGCGAAAGCGUGGGGAGCGAACAGGAUUAGAUACCCUGGUAGUCCACGCCGUAAACGAUGAGUGCUAAGUGUUAGAGGGUUUCCGCCCUUUAGUGCUGCAGCAAACGCAUUAAGCACUCCGCCUGGGGAGUACGGUCGCAAGACUGAAACUCAAAGAAAUUGACGGGGGCCCGCACAAGCGGUGGAGGAUGUGGUUUAAUUCGAAGCAACGCGAAGAACCUUACCAGGUCUUGACAUCCUCUGACAACCCUAGAGAUAGGGCUUCCCCUUCGGGGGCAGAGUGACAGGUGGUGGAUGGUUGUCGUCAGCUCGUGUCGUGAGAUGUUGGGUUAAGUCCCGCAACGAGCGCAACCCUUGAUCUUAGUUGCCAGCAUUCAGUUGGGCACUCUAAGGUGACUGCCGGUGACAAACCGGAGGAAGGUGGGGAUGACGUCACAUCAUCAUGCCCCUUAUGACCUGGGCUACACACGUGCUACAAUGGGCAGAACAAAG
rnacentral:rRNA from 1 species